rnacentral:lncRNA from 1 species
UCCAAGUGAUCCCGCGGCCAGCGUUGCAACCUCCCAUCCACCGGAUCCAUGUUCUCCCCUCUUCCGUGAUCCCAGCACCUCACAGCCGAUCCAGCCGUUCGCCUCUUCCGCGUUUCUUCCUUCCGCUAUCCAUCCCAGCCACCCAUGAAGGAGGAAACCAGCAACACCCGUUUCAGCCGCCUGUGAUUCUCCCCCAAGCAUCUUCCGUGAUCCCGGCGAUCCCGCACCGCGUCUCCUUUCUUCCACGCCCAGCAGCCCACGUCCUUCACACGGUGAAAGUCCCAGCGCCCUGAUCCAAGCCUUGAACGCCUCCUCCCAGAUCCUCCGCCGCCAAGCAUCACGUCUGAGCCGCAAUGAUCCAAGGCGCCAUCCACGGAUCCGUUCCUCCCAGCACCGAUUCCGGCCUCCCGUUUCAAAGAUCCACAGCUCCAUCCCGUGCGGAAACCAGGGAGAAGAAAGGAUCCCACACCCGCUUCCAAUCCGGCGUCCACAGAGCUUCCGGUGAUUCCGCAUCUCUUCCGGAUUUGAAAUCCCAAACGUCUGCAUCCACGGAUCACGCCGGCCGAUCCACCUCCCCGAGAUCCCGCGCCCGUUUCUCCUCCUCUCCAUGCUGUGGCGAUCUAUAAGAAGGGUAGAACGAGAGGAGGAAGGGGGCUCUCGGCGGGGUGGUCGGCUGGUUCAAGAGGGAGGAAAGGGAGGCCAUCGGCUUGGGAGAGAAGAGAGAAAGAAAAGAACAGGUGAUGCUCUGCUCUUUUGGGAAGAAGAAAGAAAAAAAAGGGAAAUUAGUAUUUUAUGUUCCACCGAGAGAGAGAGAGAGAGUGAAAAGAGAAGUAAUUUGUUUUUAUUUUUCUUUCUUUAUUUGAUUUGCAAAAUAGAAGGAGUAUUUGGCCUCUAAUCUCUAUUUUUAUUUAUAAUCAGUUUUUUCUUUUAUGAAAUCCGGCCAUCAAUUUUCUUUCAUGCAAUCCCUGUUCUAGAUUCAAAUUAAUUUCUAUUUUUUUAUGCAAUCUUUUAAUUUUUCUUUGAUGAAAUAUAUUUAAUUUUCUUUUAUAAAAUUUAUGUUUCAGGCUUCAAUCUUCUUAGUGUCGUCUAUUUUAAUUUAUGCCAAAACUCUUCUUUGAUUAAUUAAAUAAAUGCUUUUCGAAUCUAAGUACCUGUCUUUUAGUUAAUUUGAAUUAGAAAACAUUCAACAUCCUCAAAAUAAUAUUUUUCUUCUGUUAUUUAAAAAUCGUGAACGUAUUUAUUUUUAAGCAACUCCAACUGCUUCUCUGUGGAUCGACCUCUUACAACCACUAUUCUUUGAGUAGAACAGGUAAGAGUAAUAUUAAUUUAAACUUUGUUUAUCGGUUCUAACAACGAUCUGUUUAGCAUAUUUUUAGGUAAACAGGAAUCGGACGAACAAGGUUCAAGCGUG